UACAGAGACUGCAAGCGUUAUUCGGAUUCACUGGGCGUAAAGGGUGCGCAGGCGGCCAAGUGUGUGAGGCGUGAAAGCCCGAAGCUUAACUUCGGAAUUGCACCUCAAACUACAUGGCUAGAGCAUUGGAGAGGGUAGCGGAAUUCACGGUGUAGCAGUGAAAUGCGUAGAUAUCAGGAGGAACACCGGUGGCGAAGGCGGCUAUCUGGACAGAGUCUGACGCUGAGGCGCGAAAGCUAGGGGAGCAAACAGG
rnacentral:rRNA from 1 species